rnacentral:rRNA from 1 species
AAUGAACGUUGGCGGCGUGGAUUAGGCAUGCAAGUCGAGCGAGAACCGUAGCAAUACGGGGACAGCGGCGAAAGGGACAGUAAUGUGUAGGUACCUACCCCGAGGUCUGGGAUAGCUGCGGGAAACUGCAGGUAAUACCGGAUAAUGUCUUCGGACCAAAGGUGUGAUUCCACCUUGGGAGGGGCCCACAUCCUAGUAGCGAGUUGGCGGGGUAACGGCCCACCAAGGCGACGCUGGGUAGCGGGUGUGGGAGCACGACCCGCGUCAUUGGGACUGAGACAAUGCCCAGACACCUACGGGUGGCUGCAGUCGAGGGUCUUCGGCAAUGGGCGCAAGCCUGACCGAGCGACGCCGCGUGCGGGAUGAAGGCCUUCGGGUUGUAAACCGCUGUCGUAGGGGAGGAAAUGCAGGUGGGUUCUCCCUCCUGUUUGACCUAUCCUAGGAGGAAGUACGGGCUAAGUUCGUGCCAGCCGCCGCGGUAA